GCAGAGCUAGAGAUUGAAUUGUGAAGCUAAUAACUAAGAUGAGUUAUGAUUUCGAUGGCAAGUUCUGAACCAUUUUAGCUAUUUUAGCGUAGGGCAAUGACUAUAUGCUAAAAUUAUGGUAAGAGGGAGUUGCUUACUGUGAAAUUUGGAUGGGGCCUCGUCCGAAAUAUUUCCGACCAGGAGCACAAGGCCACUGACCACUUGGUGUACAGUAGUCGCCGGGGCUACCUUGUUCUCUAAGCCAGCAGUAACCCCACGCGUAUGGACCAUCUGGUGCUGUUGCCCAUCCUCCUGUCAACAGUUACAUGUUCAAUUAUUGAAUGCAUCAACUUAUGAAAAACUUCGAAAUUUAAGAAGCAUUGUGAUAUCUCAAAAUUAGAUACUAUGGUGAUGAGCGAUAGAGGUCCUGAAUUCAAGUCUCCGCGCCAGGAAUCAUAAAAGAAAUUACUAUGUGUUUGUCUCAUGAAAUUAGAAUUGACCAGUAUAAUUAAAUAAAAAUAUGCUCUCUAAUAGAUUAAACUUUUGAACUAGACGGUCAUACAGUUCAACAUAACUAGGCAUACCUGUAGUUUCAUGGGAGGUUUGGGCGAAGAAAGCCGCGAUUUCUCUUUUACGGGCAGUGGUAUCACCACUAGUACCAAAGCCAGGAAAAGACCUAGCAGCAUUGAUAAAGGCAUUGUAACUGUAGAAUCCCUUUCCUUGGCAUGCAUUAUCGUUGCGAUGCUUAAGCAUCUGAUCAAACAUGGAACUUGAGAUGAUACUGCCG
rnacentral:lncRNA from 1 species